AUUGAACGCUGGCGGCAUGCCUUACACAUGCAAGUCGAACGGCAGCGCGGGAGCAAUCCUGGCGGCGAGUGGCGAACGGGUGAGUAAUAUAUCGGAACGUGCCCAGUAGUGGGGGAUAGCCCGGCGAAAGCCGGAUUAAUACCGUAUACGACCUACGGGUGAAAGGGGGGGAUCGCAAGACCUCUCGCUAUUGGAGCGGCCGAUAUCAGAUUAGGUAGUUGGUGGGGUAAAGGCCUACCAAGCCUACGAUCUGUAGUUGGUCUGAGAGGACGACCAGCCACACUGGGACUGAGACACGGCCCAGACUCCUACGGGAGGCAGCAGUGGGGAAUUUUGGACAAUGGGGGCAACCCUGAUCCAGCAAUGCCGCGUGCAGGAAGAAGGCCUUCGGGUCGUAAACUGCUUUUGUCAGGGAAGAAAUCUUCUGGGCUAAUACCUCGGGAGGAUGACGGUACCUGAAGAAUAAGCACCGGCUAACUACGUGCCAGCCGCCGCAGUAAUAC
rnacentral:rRNA from 1 species